CUCGUUGUCUGUGAUUGUCUCCAAGUGUGUCUUGUUACCCUGUGUAUUUAAGUCUUGCUUCUCUGUCACUCAGUACUGCAUUCUACUGUUUCUGUUCCCAGUGUCUGUGACCCAUGUUUCAGAUUUUCUGGUGUUUUCCGAGUUCCCUGCGUGUUUCGAGUGUUUUGAGUUCCAUUACGUGUUUUCUGGAUUUAGUUUUCUUUUGGAAUUGCCCCUCUUAGCCUUUUGUUUGUUCUCAGGUUGUGUUUAUUUUUAUUUAUUUCACCAGGCAAGUCAUUAAGAACAUUCUUAUUUACAAUGGUGGCCUGUUAAGUAAAGUCUUCAUGUGAAAUAUCCUUUUGAUGUGUUCCAAGGAAGCCCGGUCUGUGUUAAGGCUUUCUGCCUUCCCCAGGACCUCCACCCACUCGGUGUCACCUGAAAUGGAUUUGCUUUGCUUCUCUGAAAUGUUCCAUUCUGCAAUUCAAGGGGGACCGUACAAAUUGCCGGCACGGUGCUGAAAAACUCCAACGAGACUGAUGUACCUCUCUGUACUUCUCAAAAGAAAGAGAAGAGAACAUUGCCAAGUAAUUUCAGCCAUACCAGUUACCUGUCACAAGAUUAGUCAAGCAAAGCGGUGAAAUCUGAAGCUGGAACCCGUUUGAAAGCUCAGAGGCCAGCGCUCUCUCUUUCUCUCUCUCUCUCUCGCCUUCAAAGUUUACAUUGUCACUAGGUACAGUAUACCACAGGCACACAAACCUGGCCUGGAUUUAAUAGCAUUGUGUCCUUGGUUUGUCCUUCAGUGAAGCUUUUUCACAAAUUAAAUGUGUUUUUUUUUCAUGCACAGUUUUCUGUUAAUUCCUGCUACCUCCAAACUUUCUGCAUAACAAGUCAUAACAAAUCAAAAAUGACAUUUGCUUGAAUUUGUGCCUGAUUUUUUUUUUUUUUAAUCUGCUUUGGAUGGUUUGAUUGAGGCCUAAUUUUUUGGCAACAGUAUCAAUGUUUGACCAAUAAUGUACUGCUUUUACUUGAAGCUAACAAAAAAAAGCAAAGCCUGUAAUUCUGUAAUUUUUCACUUGUACUGAUGUUGUGAAUUUUACAUGCUUACAAUUUCACUCUAUUUAUGUUUAUGUAAUUGGAAAAGGAGCCAUUGGAUGUGACAUAAUUAACUAUCACAUCACUUCUGGAAGAUAAAUAAAUAAUUGCAUUCAAAAAUGUGUGCGCUCUAAAAAAAAAAACAUAAGUGAAAUAAGAUGCAGUCAAUCAAAAGUCCUUUUCUAAUCGUGUCCUGUUAGCAGCCAUGGUAAUACUUUCAGUGUAAAAUGCAUUUGAACAACCGUGACAGCAACGAUGAAAAAGAAAUGUGAUUUACAUGUAAUCUAAUGUGAGCCAAUCAAUCAACAGACAAGCAGGCAGCAACAAUUAUGAUGCAUUUUAUCCACUUUGACGUUUGAUACGUAUUCAUUAUUCAUAUGCCUAUUUUUACUAACAGAAGGGAGAAAAAAGUAAAUCCGUAAUCUGUAAAUCCUCUAACAACAUGCCAUGAAUUUAUUUUAUUUCUUAAAAAAAAAAAAAAAAAAAAAAUUUCUCUUUCCUUUCACAUUAUAUUGUGGAGCAGACAUAGCCUUUAGCUUCCUGGACUGCCUUAGCCUAUUAAUUCCUUCUUUCAUAAACUCCGAAAUGCAUCACGCAGCUGAGAAUGAUACAAAAUGGAGCUGUCAUAAUCUGUCGCUUUGCACUUUCACUAUGUCACAGUUAGAUGCCCUUUAUUGGGAAGGAAAUGAAGAGAUGUGACACAGAACUGAAUGGUGUGGGGGAAAGAGACGGGAAAAAAAGCAGUGGAUCGAUACUGCUCGGGGAAAUAAGGUAGAGAAGGUUAUUUACUUGACAUUGAUCCGUUGCCGCGGCAGCACUGCCCAGCCUGGUUCUCUUGUGUUAACCUUUAAGCCGGUGUGUACUCACAAACGAUGAAGGAGUCCACUAACAGGUGUAGAUUAUGGAUCGAAGAAGGUCAUGGUACCUCUGUCACUGGCUGCUGCCCGUGUAGUAACAACCCAGAAGAAAUUUAAACAUCAAUAGGGAUAAUAAGGACAAAUUUAUCAAGCACAGGCCUGGUCUAGCUCCAAAGCCUGCCACUUUCCUGAGUAGCUGCCCCAGGCUGAGCUACAGUCAUUGCAGACAUUCUUUUCUCAACGAAUGGAUCAGUUGUGGCACAGCAUAUUAAUUAAUUCCCCUGCAGUACAAAAAUUUGAAGAUAGUAAUGAUCUAAGUUUGGUAUUAAACUGGAGAGUC